rnacentral:rRNA from 1 species
UACGAAGGGGGCCAGCGUUGCUCGGAAUCACUGGGCGUAAAGGGUGCGUAGGCGGGUCUUUAAGUCAGGGGUGAAAUCCUGGAGCUCAACUCCAGAACUGCCUUUGAUACUGAGGAUCUUGAGUUCGGGAGAGGUGAGUGGAACUGCGAGUGUAGAGGUGAAAUUCGUAGAUAUUCGCAAGAACACCAGUGGCGAAGGCGGCUCACUGGCCCGAUACUGACGCUGAGGCACGAAAGCGUGGGGGAGCAAACAGG